CUCGUACAGCGACGCGCCAGGCGCCAGUUUCAUUAUAAAGCGCUUCCUCUAUUAAGUAUAGAGGAGGCGCUGGCUCGUUCAAGGUAGAGAUUUUAAAUAUUCAGCUGGUGACGGUAUGUUUUUGACGUUCCGGAGACUUGCGUGCGUCACCUGACGAACUUGCGAAGUCGUUAGUUAAGGCGUGGGCCACCACUCCGGUCGCGAACUUCGCGGUGUCGUUGCAAAAAGUGCUAGAGACGCAGUGGACGGCGCACGGACGACGCCGUGUUGUGCAACGACGGUCAAGUAUAACUGAGUGUCGACGAGGACGUUAUGUGAAUUAAUGUUCAUCCUGUGGAGGCAAAAACUCAACCAAUCAGCAGGAGGCGUGCGCUGUUGGAUUCCUUUCAGCACCACCAGAUGGCGCUCGCAUCCGUGACGGCGGCAGCGCCAGCCAUAUGGGGAAAAGCAAAAAAAGAAGAACCAGAAAGGUCACCUUCACGCAUAGCGUUUGCCACAAGUGUUUCCCGGUAAAGAUUGCGGUUGCAUAAGCUGCAGUUGCCGGGAAGUGGCAACUGUAGCAUACGAAGCAGGGAGUGACGUAACUACACUUUCGUAUGUAAAAGAGGAACCCACCUAGCAACUGAUUUGUGUAGUGGCAGUGAUAUGGGAAGGCCACGUAUAGCGAGGACUCUUGAAGAGCAGCGUGCAUACGAGGCGCAGUGAUGCAUUUAUCUUCUUUCUCGUCCACUCUUUGGAGCUGCACGAAGUAGUGCCACAAGCCAAGUCGCAGGCUGUUGAAACAUCUGAGGCUAAUAGUUAGUAAAAUGCAUGUGAAUAAUUUCAACCUACGUCGCAGUGGGUAAUCGUUCUAGGUGUCGUUUACAGCUUUGCUGUCCAACCACCUUCACAGCAUGGAUUGGAGACCCCUUUUUACUAUUUUCAGAAAGUGUUGCGGGGGUCCCUUUAAACAUUGGCCCUCAGACUGAUGUCAUACUUGAUCAGUAGAAUCAGUGGGAAUGUGUAGCCACAAUUGUGGUGACUCUACUGAAUACUAAUCCACCCAGGGUAACACAUAUGCAAGAAACACUGAAAUGUGUGUGUUGUUUCUGCUUGCAAUGAUCAUAUACCUUGAAGGGCAUUUUGUUGUUUUAUUACCUUAAAUGGCGUUACCUGAAAUGGAGGAAUAUUUAGGAUUUUUAUGAAGGGAGAAAAGUCCGGCUGAUUAAUGGCGAAUAUGGUCCGAUGUAGUGCUUCUCUUUAGUGUCAUUUAGCAUUGCAGUUGUCUUUAUGUGAUUGUUCUCGCAUGUUAGCAAUGUAUGCAUUUCCACUUGUUACCUUGAAUUUUGUGGUGUUCAUUGAAGGUGAUGCACUCAGCCCAAACGGUGGCCGCUGCUGCACAAACAUCGGACAUUUCUGGGUCAAAUGAACAACGGUGUUAUUCAAGACAGCACCUUUCUCCAUUGUAUAUUAUGUCAGAAUUCUGAACCUGGUUCCUUGAACUGCAUUUGUUUUCACUUUCGCACAUAAGUGAUAUUUAUUGUCAUUACUGUAGGGCUGCAUGAUGUACCUAAAAUCACUCUCCUUUCGAAUUCUUUUUUCAUGUUUGAGAGGUCAGUAAUGUCCACGUUCUUUAGAGAACAUGCUUUAUACACUAUUCUUGUGUGAAAAUUUCAUAAAUAUAUGAUUCCUUUGCUUUUUUGUGGCAAGCAUCAUACUCCUCAUUCCCGCCUCUGUACAGCUUUGUAAUGGCCCAGAAAUUAGCUUACCUAGUUAGCAUUUUUGUUAUGCUGUGUACUCUCACCUAGGGCAUUUUGGUGAGUCUGUAGCUGCAGGUUACGAGCGACUAUCCUGUGACAGUCAAACUACAAGUGCCAAUGUGCACUAAUGCAAUGCGUUUAUUGAGUACCAUCCAGGUAGCAGCUGAUGAAGGUGAUAGUUCUGAGACAUGCAUCCUCUUAAAGGUGCCCAAAGGACAAGUGCCUGUGUAUUCUGAAUCAAUGUCGUCUUAUGGUGCUUCAUGAAAUGGGUUGGUCUUCAAAAAAAUCAUAUAUUUAGAUUUUAUUAAGCCUCUGAAUAUACUGUAUAAUUCAUUAGGGACAGUUUAUUAAAUAUGAAUAGUAUCCCUCCGUAUAUGAAGCAUAUGAAGUCCUGAUGUAGAGGGUAUCUGUAUGUGUAGGAUAUAUUUCUUUUUUCACCUUCAGAUUCCUUACUUGAAAACCUUCGUGGCUGUAGGUGUAUACUGAAUUGGGCUGGUAGCUACAACUAGCAUUUCAUGAUAGUUGUAGCUGUGCUAAUGUAAAUACUCUAGCACCACGGCAUAGGUGCUAGAGUGUGCUAGAAUAUGGUCAAAUAGGUUCGAAUGUCAGUUGGGGUGCAUUCAUUCAGGUGAAAUGCAUACCAGUUAAUUAUACUGUAGCAGUCAAUGUGAAUUGGAGUAUGCCACCAAGAACUUUGGGCUGUUCCAACAAAAAUUUUUCACCACUAGGUAGGCUGUGAUGUAUCUCCUGUCGUCUGGCAUUUUCAGCCAUGUGAUAGCGACACCGGUGUAUGUUUUGAGGCGCUGUGGAUCACACUACGUUAGUCUCUAACCAUGAAAAAUGCUUGUCAUGCGGUCUUGUAACGCAUGCAGGGCACCUUUCAACAAACAUUGUAUAGCUGUUUUAUACAAAUGCAUAAAGCUUUUGUAUAGACCACAUCUGGUGCUGUAGUUUCCAGCAUUCCAACAUCCAAGUUGCCUUUGUUGCUGUGAAGUUUUUUUUACUAAGGGAGAAAGUCAAGGGAAUCAUAAUUGUUCAGUGACUAGAAGAAACGUCAUCAGUACUCACCAAUCGAACUUUUGAUGUGUUGAAUGAGAGUGCUGACAGGAGCAUUGGAAUACUUCUUUGGAGAAGGAUCUGUUGUUAUGAAGAUUGUGGGCAAGUACUAAUUAUUGUUCAAAACAACAAUGCUUUUAAAUUGAAAAAAAAAUAUAUAUUUCAGUCUCAAGAAGUAGGCUUUGCAAAUAUAUGAGAACUAAUAUGCUGUGAGGUGUAGCACCAUGCCCCCUGCCUAAUAUGUUUCUCAAUGCAAAAAGAAAGAGUUUGUAUAUGUUGUUACUGUUUAUGCUGGCUUUAACUGUGAUCUUUUUUACUGUUAUAGAUGUGUCCAUGCCUACUACAAGACAUCCAAGAAGUUGUGUGCUUUAUGCUGCUUUAGGCAUUGCCAGGACUCCAGCUCACCAGAUCCUUCGCAUAAAGCAUCCACUUGUUUGCUCUGUUGCAUGACACAGCAGUUUGAUAUGACUAAUUUACCAUUGGGACAGUGUUAUAACUGUUUACUGAUUGCCACCUAUGUCUUUUCUUUUGUCUGGAACAAGUUUGCUGCAAUUUACUAGCAGUGCAGUAACGCAACACUGCAAUGUGCUAGCAAAGAUUGUACUUCAGUCGAGGUAACAUAUAGUGUGAAAUUUUGCCUGUCUUUAGAGUUCUCUUGAACAGUCAAUGCAUGUGUAGUGUGUUUGUGACAUCUCAUGUGACAGAAACACUAAACGAUAGCUAAGUUACCUUUAGUACUUUGUCGUUUCACUUUGCUUUUGCUGAAGCAAUAAAACAAUCAUGUAAAAUAUUUACAAUGCAGUAUUGGAGAGAAACAAUUGUUUGUGUAAUGCAGAAAAAUUGUGACUGCAUUUUCUUCCACCAGCAAAGGGUAUGUUAACUGAACUUUCUUAAAUGCUGUGUUUAUCUAUAUUUUGUCAUGUCUUUCUAUUUUUAUUUUCUUUCAUAAUAAUUGCUUUCAUUCUGUUCAUACUUCAUUUCAUACGCUCUACAUGUUUUAACAUCAGUUGAUGCUUUUGUUGUGCUGCAUUGUAUAAAUUCUUCUAUGCAAAAAAAACUGCAUAGUGCUUAGUUUAAUAAGUGAGUGUGUAAGGCAGUGUUAUGCGUAAGCUUAACAUAAAAAUUGCAUGCAAGAUCCGAUCUCUAUGCAUUGGCUGCAGGAAUUUGUAUUCAUUAAAGAUAGUUAUUUACAUACAGCGAGAUAGAACUUGAGUAAUGUAUGUACUGCAUGAAUGCUGUGUGGCCACAACAGCAAUAUGUCGGCUGGGUAGCCCAAAGUUACCCCUAUUUUGCAUACAAAUGUGGCAAUCUUUUUUGACUGCCAAGUGUAGCGCUACUGUUUCGUUAGAGUGUACUAGAAUGGGGGAGUGGGUCCAGUGGACGCUUUGGCAAGCUCCUAGGGUGAAGCAAAAACGUAGAAAUUGUGGCGGCGCUGCCGUCACCUUAUUCUUAAUCUCCGGCCAACAAACGUUGGCUCCUGCUGUUUCGGCAGAGCCCAUUGGCUGAGGCGAGCUCACGGGUUGAGUAGCUGUCGUCUGCUCGACGCACUGUCAUUGCUGCAUCAUUUGCAUUCUUUUCGCCGCUCUUUUUCCAUUUUAUUUACAAUAAAUCGGUGGAGAAUAGUAUCAGUGUUGCCGCUACCGAGUAUCCACCUGUCAAAGCUCUAUGCAGCUGCAGUAGGGUCUCCGACGCAACAAGCGUCCGGCCGGUGUGCAGGGUCGCUCAUUCGGGAGAAAGCAACGGUGGCGCCACCAACUUUUCAAUAAAGAAAGCCUCAGCGGGGAGCCUGUGCUGGACCCACUCCCCCAAUCUAGUACACUCUAGUUUCGUCAUGUGUGUGACACAUUGUUCAUAUUGCCUUCCGCUGCUACGUGUGACUUUGCAGGUUCCUUACCAUCAAUGUCCUUGGAGCUCGAGUCCGAACACGAAACGCUACUCUGCCGGAUGUGCUUUCACAAGGCUGAGAAAAAGCCCUGCAUGGACGGACAUGUGUGCACACACACAGGCAAGCGGCCCUUCAAGUGCGACCUCUGCCCAUGCACAUUCAGUCAGAGGGCCAACCUGAGACGGCAUAUGCAAAAUCACACAGGAGACCGGCCCUUUUCCUGUGUGCACUGCGGUGCAUCUUUCACACGGAAUGAAACCCUCUGGACACACAUGUCUUAUCACACAGAGAAGAAGCCCUAAAGAUGCAACCAGUGGUCUUGCAGCUGUCAUAUCCUGUCAGAACAACCUGGCGACUUCAAAGACUGUAAGGGCAUGCCCAUCAAGCCACCACCGCUGCAAGCACAGCUGUAGUGAAGGUGACAGCCAAGACUACACCUGAAGCCACCGCCAAAGUUGCAGCACCUAGCAGGGCACGUCCUGCCUGCCAACAUGCUGUCACAAGCAUUCUCACCACAGCCUUUUGACCAGAAGUCACAAGUGAUGGCAGUGGAUGUGCUCGCAGCUUAAAACCAAGCCCUGAAUACUAAUCCAUCUUCGAUGGGUGUGUGCCCAACGUGUGUUGCAAAUCCAUUUUUUUUCCUGUGGAAUAGAAUUCAUGUUAAAGUUGUAUAGUCUAUGAUAAUACUGUCAAGGUGUUUCUCCUAAGCAACCCUGUAGAAUUGCUUUGUCAUUCUGCAGCCUUAUUAGGCAAUGACCUGAGAUAUAUGUGUACCUUGUACAUAUUGUCAAUGUAUGAUGAGUGCAGCCAGGUUUGCAGUGCAACCUAGACUUGGGUUGUGCCUCAUAUACAUGUUGUGCCUGUAGACAUCAUGUAAUCAUACAUAAAACUCUUACAUAGUGUCCUCCACAGUCUUGCAGCUGGCGAUUGGGCAAAAUGAGCUUCUGUCAAAUUGUACUAAUUUUUUUUUUUUUUUGCAUGCUCAGAUAGUCCAUCAUCACGAUUGUCCAUAAGAGAAAAAUUUGCAGCUGCCUCUUUGAACACAAUUCUUUUACUAGUGACCUGCAAGCAUGAAUUAGCAGGUGAUAGUAUAUGUAUGCUUUGCUCGUUUAAACAUUGGCCCUCUGUCUGCUAUCCUAUGUGUUUAGCAAAGCCAGCGCAAAUCUGUAGUCUAAGUAAGGUGACUACACCAAAUACUUUCACUUUGCACAUACUGGUAUUCAUUAGUUCUCAUUACUGUAGCACUGCAUGGCACACCUAGAAUUACACCUUUAUUUCUGUUUGUCAAGCGAGUAUUGUUUACAUUUUUUUAGUAAACAUGCUCCAUAUACCGUACCUUCCGGUGUAUAAGACGAAUUUUUUUUCUGAAUUUUUCGUCGGUGCGUCUUAUAGAACGGUGCGACUUAUGUACUUUUUUUUCGUAAAAACUGCCGUCAAAAUCAGAUUCAAUGUUAUGGCCGCAUGCUGGUUGAUUUAAUUGUUGCGGGUUCUGUGCGCGCUAUCGAGGUGGCGAGUACGUUCUCGUGAUCAAGUUCCCGGGCGGCGGCAGACUGUCCGCGAGUCGGCCGACCCCAAAUUCGUCGCAUCUGCAGAUCACUGUCAAGAUACGGCCCAAGCCGCUGCGCAAGCUAUGCAGCUGCUACCAGAGUACAAGCCUCAUCCUCCCUCCCGCGCUGCCAUCCCACUUUCCUUCCUUGUGCGCGAUUCGGCUCACCGUCGGACGCUUUAACUCACACAUACAGCAUACAGCGCGAGGAGACAAUGUUAUCGUCCUUCGACUUUAUACGGAACAACGCGGCAACCAUGACGGCAGAAAUGCGCCUGAAGUGAAAAUAUAUGGCACCCAUACGCUUGCGCGUGCCACGCGUUCACGGAGUGAAACGUCACUGUAAUUUUUUUAUAUCGCUUACCGAGCGAACAGGUGCAUCUUAUACACCGGUGUGACUUGUAUACGUUUUUUUCUGGAAAAAUUGCCGUUUUGAGGGGGUGCUCUUAUACAAAGGUGCGACUUAUAGACCGGAAAAUACGGUACUCUUUGAGGAUGUCAUGAAAGUAUGGUUCUCAUGCUGUGCUACUAGCAACCAUUAUAUGCUUUGUUCCGGCCUUUAAUGUACAACAUUGAAUUGCCCACAGAAAUGGGUCUUUCUGGUUGGUUUUUAUACGAUACUUUGAUUGCACUUUCUCUUAGUGAAUUUUAGUGAGUCACUAGGUGUAGCUUAGUAGUGGCUAUGCUGGUCGCAGUCAGGCUACAUGUGCAACAAUGGCUCCACAUUAAAUAAGUACCGACCAGGUAGCAGCCAAUUAAGCACCUACGUGGUAUGUAUGUCCUCUGACAUGUUGCCAAAGGACGACAAGUGUCUGUGCAUUCUGAAUAAAUUGAAUUGUGUUAUGAUGCUCCAUAA